UACGUAGGGGGCAAGCGUUGUCCGGAUUCAUUGGGCGUAAAGCGCGUGUAGGCGGCCAGGUAGGUCUGGUGUGAAAACUCGAGGCUCAACCUCGAGAGGUCAUCGGAAACCAUCUGGCUAGAGUCCGGAAGAGGAGAGUGGAAUUCCUGGUGUAGCGGUGAAAUGCGCAGAUAUCAGGAAGAACACCCGUGGCGAAAGCGGCUCUCUGGAACGGUACUGACGCUGAGACGCGAGAGCGUGGGGAGCGAACAGG
rnacentral:rRNA from 1 species